AUACGUAGGUGGCAAGCGUUGUCCGGAAUUAUUGGGCGUAAAGCGCAUGUAGGCGGUGCCUUAAGUCUGUCGUGAAACUGCGGGGCCUAACCCCGUAUGGCGAUGGAAACUGUGGCACUUGAGUGCAGGAGAGGAAAGGGGAACUCCCAGUGAAGCGGUGAAAUGCGUACAUAUUGGGAAGAACACCGUUGGCGAAGGCGCAUUUCUGGACUGUUACUGACGCUGAGAUGAGAAAGCCAGGGUAUCGAACUGGAUUAGAUACCCCGGUAGUCCGGGCCGUAAACGAGGGGUACUAGGUUUGGGAGGUAUCGCCCCCUUCCGUGCCGGAGUUAACGCAAUAAGUACCCCGCCUGGGGAGUACGGCCGCAAGGCUUAAACUCAAAUGAAUUCACGGGG
rnacentral:rRNA from 1 species